CGGGGCGUAGCGCAGCUUGGCCCAGCGCGCCUGCUUUGGGAGCAGGAGGUCGCCGGUUCAAAUCCGGCCGCCCCGA
rnacentral:tRNA from 1 species